UGUAAAUUUAUUAGCUAUAAUUAUUAUUAGAUAUGAUCUUUAAAAUUAAAGAUUUUGGCGGUAUUUUAGUCUAUUCAGAGGAACCUGUUUUUUAAUCGAUAAUCCACGAUUAUUUUUACUUUAUCUUUAAAUUUACAUAUCGUCGUGAAAUAAAUAUUUUUAUAGAAAAAUAAUUUUUAUGAUUUUUUAUUAAAGAUUAAUUCAGAUCAAGGUGUAGUUGAUGUUAAAGUUUUAAUGGGUUACAUUGUAUUUAUAUUUGGGUUUUUAAUUUUAAAUUAAAAGUUAAAUUGGAUUUGGAAGUAAUUUUUAAAUAUUUAUAAGAUGACUUAGCUCUAAAAUAUGCACACAUCGCC
rnacentral:rRNA from 1 species